CGCAAGGUAAAACUCAAAUGAAUUGACGGGGGCCCGCACAAGCGGUGGAGCAUGUGGUUUAAUUCGAUGCAACGCGAAGAACCUUUACCAGGUCUGACAUCCUCGGAACUUGGCAGAGAUGCCUUGGUGCCUUCGGGAGCCGAGUGACAGGUGCUGCAUGGCCGUCGUCAGCUCGUGUCGUGAGAUGUUGGGUUAAGUCCCGUAACGAGCGCAACCCUUGUCCUUAGUUGCCAGCACGUCAUGGUGGGAACUCUAGGGAGACUGCCGGUGACAAACCGGAGGAAGGUGGGGACGACGUCAGGUCAUCAUGGCCCUUACGACCUGGGCUACACACGUGCUACAAUGGCUGGUACAGAGGGUUGCGAAGUCGCGAGGCGAAGCUAAUCCCUUAAAGCCAGUCGUAGUCCGGAUCGGAGUCUGCAACUCGACUCCGUGAAGUCGGAAUCGCUAGUAAUCGCGGAUCAGAAUGCCGCGGUGAAUACGUUCCCGGGCCUUGUACACACCGCCCGUCACACCAUGGGAGUGGAUUGCACCAGAAGUGGCUAGUCUAACUACGGAGGACGGUCACCACGGUGUGGUUCAUGACUGGGGUGAAGUCGUAACAAGGUAACCGUA
rnacentral:rRNA from 1 species